ACUACGGGUGGCAGCAGUGAGGAAUAUUGGUCAAUGGACGCAAGUCUGAACCAGCCAUGCCGCGUGCAGGAAGACGGCUCUAUGAGUUGUAAACUGCUUUUGUACGAGGGUAAACGCAGAUACGCGUAUCUUUCUGAAAGUAUCGUACGAAUAAGGAUCGGCUAACUCCGUGCCAGCAGCCGCGGUAAUACGGGGGAUGCAAGCGUUAUCCGGAUUUAUUGGGUUUAAAGGGUGGGUAGGCUGUAGGGUAAGUCAGCUGGGAAAUGCCCCCGCUCAACGGGGUGAAGUGCCAUUGAUACUGCCGUGCUGGAAUGCGGAUGCCGUGGGAGGAAUGUGUGGUGUAGCGGUGAAAUGCAUAGAUAUCACACAGAACACCGAUUGCGAAGGCAUCUCACGAAGCCGCGAUUGACGCUGAUGCACGAAAGCGUGGGUAUCAAACAGGAUUAGAUACCCGUGUAGUC
rnacentral:rRNA from 1 species